rnacentral:rRNA from 1 species
UAAUACCGGAUGGUUGUUUGAACCGCAUGGUUCAAACAUAAAAGGUGGCUUCGGCUACCACUUACAGAUGGACCCGUGGCGCAUUAGCUAGUUGGUGAGGUAACGGCUCACCAAGGCGACGAUGCGUAGCCGACCUGAGAGGGUGAUCGGCCACACUGGGACUGAGACGCGGCCCAGACUCCUACGGGAGGCAGCAGUAGGGAAUCUUCCGCAAUGGACGAAACUCUGACGGAGCAACGCCGCGUGACUGAUGAAGGUUUUCGGAUCGUAAAGCUCUGUUGUUAGGGAAGAACAAGCACCGUUCGAAUAGGGCGGUACCUUGACGGUACCUAACCAGAAAGCCACGGCUAACUACGUGCCAGCAGCCGCGGUAAUACGUAGGUGGCAAGCGUUGUCCGGAAUUAUUGGGCGUAAAGGGCUCGCAGGCGGUUUCUUAAGUCUGAUGUGAAAGCCCCCGGCUCAACCGGGGAGGGUCAUUGGAAACUGGGGAACUUGAGUGCAGAAGAGGAGAGUGGAAUUCCACGUGUAUCGGUGAAAUGCGUAGAGAUGCGGAGGAACACCAGUGGCGAAGGGCGACUCUCUGGUCUGUAACUGACGCUGAGGAGCGAAAGCGUGGGGGAGCGAAACAGGAUUAGAUACCCCUGGUAGUCACGCCGUAAAACGAUGAGUUGCUAAGUGUUUAGGGGGGUUUCCCGCCCCCUUUAUGCUGCAGCUAACGCAUAAAGCACUCCGCCUGGGGAGUACGGUCGCAAGACUGAAACUCAAAGGAAUUGACGGGGGCCCGCACAAGCGGUGGAGCAUGUGGUUUAAUUCGAAGCAACGCGAAGAACCUUACCAGGUCUUGACAUCCUCUGACAAUCCUAGAGAUAGGACGUCCCCUUCGGCGGCAGAGUGACAGGUCGUGCAUGGUUGUCGUCAGCUCGUGUCGUGAGAUGUUGGGUUAAGUCCCGCAACGAGCGCAACCCUUGAUCUUAGUUGCCAGCAUUCAGUUGGGCACUCUAAGGUGACUGCCGGUGACAGACCGGAGGAAGGUGGGGAUGACGUCAAAUCAUCACGCCCCUUAUGACCUGGGCUACACACGUGCUACAAUGGACAGAACAAAGGGCAGCGAAACCGCGAGGUUAAGCCAAUCCCACAAAUCUGUCUCUCAGUUCGGAUCGCAGUCUGCAACUCGACUGCGUGAAGCUGGAAUCGCUAGUAAUCGCGGAUCAGCAUGCCGCGGUGAAUACGUUCCCGGGCCUUGUACACACCGCCCAGUACACACCACGAGAGUUUGUAACACC